GCUAAAAAUUUUGGCAGCCAAGGAUCCAUCUGCACUUGGUCUAGACACCUAUUACAAGCAAUAUUAUCUAUGUUUGGCUGCUGCUGCAGCUACUGUCAAAUGGUAGUGUGCAACUUUUCUAUCCCAUAACUUGAAUUUUAUUUUUUUACAUGUUUGGAGGAGUGUUGCUCUUUGGGUUACAAGAAUGCGACUGCAACUUUUCUGCUGCUGCAUUUUCUGUGAGGACAGAAGCAGAGAAAGGGGUUAUUGUUACAAACCACUCAUUGUUGGUCACGUUUAAUGGCUCAUUUGACCAUAUGAUUAUUGACUCUACUAGGUAUCCUUUUUGAAAAAUAACCUCUUCUUUUCAGUUGCUGGUUUUUUUUUUCCAUUCGUCCAUAAAGUAGGGUUGAAAUGCAGUUUUGCUCCAAUAUCUUUGUUCAAAUGAUAUUGCAUUGGCAGGAGUCGAAAAUGCACAUCAUUAUGCUUUAUAUUACAAUAACAAUUCGAAUUUUCUUUAUGGAUCUUAUAAUUGAAAUAUGCAUAACAGUGUACAGAACUUGGAAAUCAUUGAGCCACUACAUUCAACCCUUUGGGGAACAAGCAACAAAAAAAGAAGUCUAUUUCACAUGCUUAAGACAACAAUAACUGUUGGAGUGUAUGUUGAUUGGCUGUCUAGUUGUUUUUUUUCUGUCAUUUUAGCUUGAGUUUCUGAGGUUUGUCAUUUAUAAGGAACUAGAAAGCUAGAUUCUGGGGAAAUUUUUGCACUUCAACCAGCAAGAAAAUGGCUGGGACACAUGUCAUAUAUGCUAUGAGAUAAUGUUAUGUAUAGUUGUUCCAUUCACCUGCUUUAUUUCAUUGUAUUUCAUUCCACCUACUUUAUUUUGCACUCUUGUAAAACUUCAUCCCUAUUUCUCUCAACCCCUUAAAAGAGAGAGUCAUUGGUUGUGUGGAUGUAUGUCAAAAUUGUUAUGUUUGUUUUGACUUCUUGUCCCUGGAUGAAGAAUAACUCUAGUGCCCUACUUAGCUCUAUGUCAU